UUUGGAAUACACACUUUAAAAGUAUAGGGUUUCUUUGUAAUCAGUAGCCAGGCUUUGACUUUGUGAUAUGAGCCCUGCCUUGCAUCCCAUUGUUUUCCAACAACCCCUGCUUUGCAUUUUAAACUGCUGCUCAGUGUCUCCAAGGUAUGGUCCUGAAUUAAACACCCGGCUGUCCAGUAUCAGAUGCCCAGUUCUUUAGCAGCACAAGUCAGAGUUAACCAAGAAGGGACUGCAAGUACUGUGUGAAGAAGACAAAGAAACAAAGGACACCCUAAGCUCUUAGUGAUCCCCCUACUAUUCCAGAGAAGGUAAAAAUCAAAUCAAGAAUAGUGUCUAGAAGACUAUUAUUUACCCGAUCUCCUCCUCCAGCUCAGAGAUAUCCGCUAGGAUGAGGAAAACCACCAACAAGGUGACAGUGGCCAGCACCCAGCUUCUGAAGUCCGGAUUCAUGGCUUGGCUGCUGCUUCCCGGGGCUGGCGAUGCGAAUCAAGGAAGAUGAGAGAGAGAGCGAUCCGUUCUGCUCCAGGUCAAUCCCAACGCAAGAACAGCCCCGCCGCUGCCGCCGCAAAGCGCUCCCUGCCCGCUGCUCUCACACACAGCUCCGCCGGCCAGGCUGCUCCUAGUCGUGCUGCGAUGGCUGCAUGUGGAAAUGGUGCCGCUGGUUACUCAUUGUCACCUAUGAGCAGAGAACAUGCUGCUGCUCUCACACACCCUGGGAAGAACAGGAGAGAGAGCCAUGCACAGCUCUGCCAUCCCCAGCCUGACACUGAGACCCUCCCUUUCCCCCUCUCCCUCUCUUUCUUAAAGUUAUUCUGACACAGGAGAAGUCCUCACCUGGGAAUAGUCACCGGCAGCAGAGGGAGGGGUGGGGGCUUGUAGAUUGCUGCAUGUCACUAGGGGGAGAAAUAGACCUGUCACAGGCAAAGCAGGGAGUAGAAUAGGAAUUCUAGCCCUAAGCAAGGAAUGGGUUACUGAUAGGUCCAAAGCAGCAGCUUUCUCAUCCAGGCAAUAGAUGUCUCUCACUGGCCAAAGAGACAUCUGCAGCAGCUCUCACACUUGCAUCAGAAAUUCAUACAGGGAUUAAGAUGAAGUUAUCCCAGCUACAGUAUAUAGUUGCUUGAAUUGGUAUGCUGACAUGUUUAAUGCUCUGAAUUCCAAGAGGUUCUGCAGCAGGUGGGGAGCCCUUUACAAUGCUUGCACCAAAUGCACAUUAUUGAUGUUCUUCUAUUAUACAAUAAAGUCACCCUAAGGAACUGGCCACCCCUGUUAUCUCCAAGACUCCACUUAGGAAAUAUAUUGCACAAGUGUAGAGAUGUAAAGUUUCACAUGACUUGUAGACGCAAACAUGUUUUGAAUAAUAUUUACAGUGGGUGCAAAGGGUGGGUGUUCUUCUCAUGGCUUCUGCUACAUUCAGCUUAGUGGAGAAUGCAUGGAAGUGUGUGUAACUGAACCAGUUUAAUUUCCUAUUACUUUUAUGUGCAACAGUUUCAUGCCACUUGCAUCCUAAACCCCAUGUGAAUCCUGUUCCAGUAAAAGAUCCUGCUAAAUUUCCAUUGCAAGUGUAAGAGUUAUAGUAAAUAAAGAAAUGGGUGCUCAGUGCCCACACCUUGCUGUCAGUGUAGCCAUACCAGAGCCAUACCAAGGGACAUUGGAGCCCAAGGGGAGUUGGCAAACUGCAUCCCUCCGUGGUCCCACCACACCAUCAUCAUCCUCUAUCAGGGAGAGUAAGUUGCAGACACAGAACAGUUUGGACAGAGAACAGAGACAAGGGGAUGGCGAGCCUUUGUUGCACAUACAGCACUAAACAUAUUUUCUGAAAUUAGACCUCUCUUCCCAAAAUGGUUUUACUGCAACCGCUUUAAACUCUUUCUGUGGGUAAUGUUCUAGAUCUGCCCCAUCCUUCUCCUAUACAUUCCUGUUCCCAUCAAAAAUUAAACAUUGCCACAUCCAAGAUGCCACCAAGACAACCAGUCUUGCAUUCUACACCCUGGUAGCUGAGCAUCAAUGCUGGAGGUUGUCUCCUUUUUUUACAAGACAAUAUAAGCUUUUACUUCUUUCAAAUAAAACAACCCUUUUUUUAUAAUACAGAGAAGGAAAAUGUAAACAUAGAAUUAUAUAAGCAAGAAAUCACAGAUUUCGAAAGCCUCAAUACCUCACAAACAAGACAAUAACAAAUCUCAAUUGUUUUAUGGACAUGCCUGACUAUCUGGAGCACAGCAGAGGGGUUUUCGUUUUUAGAUUUUUAGAUAAUUUCCAAGUCUCAUGAAAAUAAAUGUCACUUAAAAAAUGAG